UACGUAGGGGUCCGAGCGUUGUCCGGAAUUACUGGGCGUAAAGCGCACGCAGGUGGCUGAGUCAGUCGAUUGUGAAAGCCCUGGGCUUAACCUAGGAAUUGCAGUCGAUACUACUCAGCUAGAGUAUGGGAGAGGGCAGUGGAAUUCCCGGUGUAGCGGUGAAAUGCGUAGAUAUCGGGAGGAACAUCAGUGGCGAAGGCGGCUGCCUGGCCCAAUACUGACACUCAGGUGCGGACAGCGUGGGGAGCAAACAGG
rnacentral:rRNA from 1 species